UAAAGUGAAUUCUUUUGUUUUUCUUGUACUGUGGCAGAACUUAGCUAAAUCCAUAGAUAAUGUGGGAUUACAUGAUUUAUUUCAAAAGUUUGGAAAUAUCUUGUCCAGCUUUGGGAAUUGCUUUGGUGCUUCAAAUUGGUUUAGAGGGAGUGAUGAUAGUGAUACUGCUGAGAAGCCACGGGAACGAGGUAAUAGAAUUGAGGAUAAUAUUGAGGAUGACAAUGAAGAUUAAGCUGUUUAUCAUUGUGGUUUAUGGGUUAAGAUGGAGUAAUGUUGAGAAUGGAUACAUGUAUGGUAGACUAAUUACUUUUAUUAGAAGAUACUUAUAUAGAAUAUAAUAUUUUAGUUUUUCGUA